rnacentral:tRNA from 1 species
GCCAGUAUGUUGGCCAUGACCCUCGGCUUGCAACCGAGUGGGUUCGGGUUCGAAUCCCGAGUAAGACU